GGAGCCCUACGGGACGCAGCAGUAGGGAAUUUUCGUCAAUGGGCGCAAGCCUGAACGAGCAAUGCCGCGUGAACGAGGAAGGUCUUCGGAUCGUAAAGUUCUGUUGAAGGGGAAAAAGAGCGGAGAGAGGAAAUGGUCUCCGAUUGAUAUUACCCUUCGAGGAAGUCACGGCUAACUACGUGCCAGCAGCCGCGGUAAUACGUAGGUGGCGAGCGUUAUCCGGAAUGAUUGGGCGUAAAGGGUGCGUAGGCGGCCUGCUAAGUCUGGAGUGAAAGGUACCGGCUCAACCGGGACAGGCGCUGGGA
rnacentral:rRNA from 1 species